rnacentral:rRNA from 1 species
UACGUAGGUGGCAAGCGUUAUCCGGAAUUAUUGGGCGUAAAGCGCGCGUAGGCGGUUUCUUAAGUCUGAUGUGAAAGCCCACGGCCCAACCGUGGAGGGUCAUUGGAAACUGGGAAACUUGAGUGCAGAAGAGGAAAGUGGAAUUCUAUGUGUAGCGGUGAAAUGCGCAGAGGUAUGGAGGAACACCAGUGGCGAAGGCGACCUUCUGGUCUGUAACUGGCGCUGAUGUGCGAAAGCGUGGGGAUCAAACAGG